AAUGUGUAGAGAAUGGUCAAGUUG
rnacentral:siRNA from 1 species